AUUGAACGCUGGGGCAUGCCUUACACAUGCAAGUCGAACGGCAGCGGGGACUUCGGUCCGCCGGCGAGGUGGCGAACGGGUGGUAAAGCAUCGGAACGUGCCCUGAAGUGGGGGUAACGUAGCGAAAGUUACGCUAAUACCGCAUAUUCUGUGAGCAGGAAAGCAGGGGAUCUUCGGACCUUGUGCUUUAGGAGCGGCCGAUGUCGGAUUAGCUAGUUGGUGAGGUAAAGGCUCACCAAGGCGACGAUCCGUAGCGGGUCUGAGAGGAUGAUCCGCCACACUGGGACUGAGACACGGCCCAGACUCCUACGGGAGGCAGCAGUGGGGAAUUUUGGACAAUGGGCGCAAGCCUGAUCCAGCCAUGCCGCGUGAGUGAAGAAGGCCUUCGGGUUGUAAAGCUCUUUCGGCGGGGAAGAAAUUGCUUCGGCUAAUAACCGGAGUAGAUGACGGUACCCGCAUAAGAAGCACCGGCUAACUACGUG
rnacentral:rRNA from 1 species